GGGGUUAUAGCUCAGUUGGUAGAGCGGUUGCUUCGCAUGUAACAGGUCAGGGGUUCGACUCCCCUUAGCUCCACCA
rnacentral:tRNA from 1 species